rnacentral:rRNA from 1 species
AGAGUUUGAUCCUGGCUCAGGAUGAACGCUGGCGGCGUGCCUAACACAUGCAAGUCGAGCGAAGCGCUUAAGUCAGAAUCUUCGGAGGAAGACUUUGUGACUGAGCGGCGGACGGGUGAGUAACGCGUGGGUAACCUGCCUUACACAGGGGGAUAACAGUUAGAAAUGACUGCUAAUACCGCAUAAGACCACAGUACUGCAUGGUACAGUGGUAAAAACUGAGGUGGUGUAAGAUGGACCCGCGUCUGAUUAGGUAGUUGGUGGGGGUAAUGGCCCACCAAGCCGACGAUCAGUAGCCGGCCUGAGGGGGUGGACGGCCACAUUGGGACUGAGACACGGCCCAGACUCCUACGGGAGGCAGCAGUGGGGAAUAUUGCACAAUGGGGGAAACCCUGAUGCAGCGACGCCGCGUGAGCGAUGAAGUAUUUCGGUAUGUAAAGCUCUAUCAGCAGGGAAGAAAAUGACGGUACCUGACUAAGAAGCCCCGGCUAACUACGUG